rnacentral:rRNA from 1 species
AUGGGCGCAAGCCUGAUGCAGCGACGCCGCGUGAGGGAUGACGGCCUUCGGGUUGUAAACCUCUUUCGCCAGGGACGAAGCGCAAGUGACGGUACCUGGAGAAGAAGGACCGGCCAACUACGUGCCAGCAGCCGCGGUAAUACGUAGGGUCCGAGCGUUGUCCGGAAUUACUGGGCGUAAAGAGCUCGUAGGUGGUUUGUCGCGUUGUUCGUGAAAACUCACAGCUCAACUGUGGGCGUGCGGGCGAUACGGGCAGACUGGAGUACUGCAGGGGAGACUGGAAUUCCUGGUGUAGCGGUGGAAUGCGCAGAUAUCAGGAGGAACACCGGUGGCGAAGGCGGGUCUCUGGGCAGUAACUGACGCUGAGGAGCGAAAGCGUGGGGAGCGAACAGGAUUAGAUACCCUGGUAGUCCACGCCGUAAACGGUGGGUACUAGGUGUGGGUUUCCUUCCUUGGGAUCCGUGCCGUAGCUAACGCAUUAAGUACCCCGCCUGGGGAGUACGGCCGCAAGGCUAAAACUCAAAGAAAUUGACGGGG